rnacentral:misc_RNA from 1 species
GAUGAAGAACGUAGCGAAAUGCGAUACGUAAUGUGAAUUGCAGAAUUCAGUGAAUCAUCGAAUCUUUGAACGCAUAUUGCGCUCUCUGGUAUUCCGGAGAGCAUGCUUGUUUGAGUAUCAGUAAACACCUCAACAUCCAUAUCUUUUUUUGAAAUGGGAGUUGGACUUGAGUGAUCCCAACGCUUUUCCUCACCGAAAAGUGGCGGGUUACUUGAAAUGCAGGUGCAGCUGGACUUUUCUCUGAGCUAUAAGCAUAUCUAUUUAGUCUGCGUAAAAAACAGAUUAUUACCUUUGCUGCAGCUAACAUAAAGGAGAUUAGUUCUUGUGCUGACUGAUGCAGGAUUCACAAAGACAGCUUCGGCCGACUUUGUAAACUCGAUCUCAAAUCAAGUAAGACUACCCGCUGAACUUAAGCAUAUCAAUAAGCGGAGGA